rnacentral:rRNA from 1 species
GAUGAACGCUGGCGGCGUGCCUAAUACAUGCAAGUCGAGCGAACAGAUAAGGAGCUUGCUCCUUUGACGUUAGCGGCGGACGGGUGAGUUACACGUGGAUAACCUACCUAUAAGACUGGGAUAACUUCGGGAAACCGGAGCUAAUACCGGAUAACAUAUUGAACCGCAUGGUUCAAUAGUGAAAGGCGGCUUUGCUGUCACUUAUAGAUGGAUCCGCGCCGUAUUAGCUAGUUGGUAAGGUAACGGCUUACCAAGGCAACGAUACGUAGCCGACCUGAGAGGGUGAUCGGCCACACUGGAACUGAGACACGGUCCAGACUCCUACGGGAGGCUGCAGUAGGGAAUCUUCCGCAAUGGGCGAAAGCCUGACGGAGCAACGCCGCGUGAGUGAUGAAGGUCUUCGGAUCGUAAAACUCUGUUAUCAGGGAAGAACAAAUGUGUAAGUAACUGUGCACAUCUUGACGGUACCUGAUCAGAAAGCCACGGCUAACUACGUG